rnacentral:rRNA from 1 species
UACGUAGGGGGCAAGCGUUGUCCGGAUUUAUUGGGCGUAAAGCGCUCGCAGGUGGUUCAUUGCGUCGUGCGUGAAAGACCCCGGCUCAACUGGGGAGGGUCGUGCGAAACGGGUGAACUAGAGGCCAGUAGGGGGAUGCGGAAUUCCGGGUGUAGUGGUGGAAUGCGUAGAGAUCGGGAGGAACACCAGUGGCGAAGGCGGCUACCUGGACCAGCACUGACACUGAGGCACGAAAGCGUGGGGAGCAAACAGG